GUCUCUGUGGCGCAAUGGGUCAGUGUGUCUGGCUGUUGGCCAGAAGGUUGGUGGUUCAAGCCCACUCAGGGGUG